AUACGGAGGAUCCGAGCGUUAUCCGGAUUUAUUGGGUUUAAAGGGAGCGUAGGUGGACAGUUAAGUCAGUUGUGAAAGUUUGCGGCUCAACCGUAAAAUUGCAGUUGAUACUGGCUGUCUUGAGUACAGUAGAGGUGGGCGGAAUUCGUGGUGUAGCGGUGAAAUGCUUAGAUAUCACGAAGAACUCCGAUUGCGAAGGCAGCGCACUGGACUGCAACUGACACUGAUGCUCGAAAGUGUGGGUAUCAAACAGGAUUAGAUACCCUGGUAGUCCACACAGUAAACGAUGAAUACUCGCUGUUUGCGAUAUACAGUAAGCGGCCAAGCGAAAGCAUUAAGUAUUCCACCUGGGGAGUACGCCGGCAACGGUGAAACUCAAAUGAAUUGACGGGG
rnacentral:rRNA from 1 species